rnacentral:lncRNA from 1 species
CCUACUCCGGUGAGAAAAGCUCUGACAGAAAAAGCUUGAGUUAUCAACAAGCCUCUCCCCCAAGUAAGACACAACCAGCAGACCCCAGACGUAAUGCUGCUGGUCUCUUCCUGAGGUAACCAUUGAGUCAUUAUUUGCUGUGUUUUUCUAGAAACUUUCUUCUAAAAUUUUAGGUAGCUUUUGAUCCAUACUCAGCUCUGUAGGGGGCUUUUGAAUAACUAUUUCUUUAAAACUGUUUAUCUGUCUAUCUGUCGAUCUACCUAUCAUCUAUCUGUCCCACCCGUCUAUCUAUUUAUUAGCUCCCAGUGAAAGGGAAAGGGGAAAGUGCCUUGGGCAAGAAGAGUGACUGUAGCUGUUAUUAGUGCAAAGUAUAAAAAUAAUUGGUUGUUUUUCCUUGUCUCUUCAAGUUCCACAGAUCAGCUCUUCUGAAGGGUAAUAAACUAGUUCAGCAUAUUGAGAAACUUAGGGGAAAACUGAAGUAAUGCGAGACCUUAGGGGCUUUUGCUGUCGUUGUUGAAAGGGCCAGCACCUUCAUGACUGAUACAUGGGAAAGAGGACAACCUUACACCCUUAGCAAAGAACAUCCUUAGCAAAGAAAGCAUGGGGGAUACCAGUUACCCUUCCCGGCUUACAUCCUGUGUGGGCUUGGCAGACAUCAGCUCCCGAGCACCUAGAAGGCACUUCCUUCUCCAGAGGAGCUUCAUGGAAACAAGGACUCUGUUGCAACUGGCUGAGGUUGGAACUAAUUCCUCCUCUGUCUGCAUUACAAAAUAAGUGAAGACUAACCAGCCCGGGCAGGUUUUUUUGUAUCCUUGGAUUGCUCUCUGCCUCUUUUCAAGAGCUUUUGCUGUAAAAUAACCAGACUACAUCUAAAUUUAGCCAUGUGAUAUGGUACAAACAGGCUUUCAUGCCUGCUGUGUCAUCAAGGGGAUUUCAGGAUUUUCUAAUUGGUCUGCCUCGGUGCAUCUGAUGCAAUCGCCCAUCAUCAGUUUGUGCUCAGGAGUCUGGGUGGGAAGUGAAAGUACAGACAAGCCUGCCUAGGCCAUCUCUGCCUUGCAAGAGCUUGCCGCUAGCUGUGUGUGGCUCUGAGACCCAGAUUCAGGCCAAUUCAAAAUGAAAACCUUCAAAUGAGUGCUCCGAAAGUAAAACAAAAACUGAAUCUACUUGCUACAUCUUGAUGAGGCCCAUAAGGUAGCAAAGGUUUGGGGGUACAAGGUCAAGCUGAAGGGUUAAGGCCUGAAAGGGGUUUGCCCCUCGGAUAAACUAAACAUCCUUUGCCAGUGGCAUGCUGUGGAAAGGCGGCCCUGAGGAAAGGCUAGUGACCCAUGGGGGAUCCAAAUUUCCACGGCUGGAUGGCAUCUCUUCCAGGCCUUUCCCAUGGAGGCAAAGACUCCAGACUGAACUUGAAGAGUUCUAGGCAAUCCUCUCAGAGUUAGGACUUUGAAGAUCAAAUGAGAAUGAUAGGGAUUUGGAAAAACUAGUACUUGGUCAGUAUUUAUGCUUAUGGCUCUUUACCAGAAAGGAAAAAAAUAAUUGCUCUACUAUCCUCUAAGUUAUUUUUAUCACUUAAAUGAAAAAGAACUAGCUGAGGUUAUUUGGCAUAUCACAAUGUUUUUCUUAUUUUUUUUUCUGAUUAUCAAUUCAUGCUCGCUGAAAAAAAUAGUCAAAUGUUACAGAAAUGUGUAACAUAGAAAAUAAGAAGACUUCUUCAGCACAACCUCCAAGGUAAGUUUGGAUAGCAAUUUGUUUUAUAGGCUCAUUUCUUUUCCCCCCACAGAUACUCUAUCUAUCUAUCUAUCUAUCUAUCUAUCUAUCUAUCUAUCUAUCUAUCUAUCUUUAUAAGAAUGAAAUCUUCCAUGAUAUACUUAUAAAUUGCAUUUCCAUUCAACAAUAUACCUUUCCCUGUUUAUUUAUAAAGACAUACCUGGAUGCCUUGUUUGGUUUUUAAGACUAGAUUUCUUUAAAGUUAUAAGUUACACACAGAAUUAAAGCAGAGAAUACAGAGAUAUAUAUUGAAAAUAAAAAUGCUUCCCUCCUCUCUACA